GGGCGUAAACGCCGCGUAGGUUGGUUUGUUAAGUUGAAUGUGAAAUCCCCGGGCUCAACCUGGGAACUGCAUCCAAAACUGGCAAGCUAGAGUAGGGCAGAGGGUGGUGGAAUUUCCUGUGUAGCGGUGAAAUGCGUAGAUAUAGGAAGGAACACCAGUGGCGAAGGGACCACCUGGGCUCAUACUGACACUGAGGUGCGAAAGGGGGGGAGCAAACAGGAUUAGAUACCCUGGUAGUCCACGCCGUAAACGAUGUCAACUAGCCGUUGGGAGUCUUGAACUCUUAGUGGCGCAGUAAACGCAUUAAAGUUGACCGCCUGGGGAGUACGGCCGCAAGUUUAAAACUCAAAUGAAUUGACGGGGGCCCGCACCAGCGGUGGGAGCAUGUUGUUUUUAAUUCGGAACCACGGAAAGAACCUUUACCAGGCCUUGAACUUCAAUGGACUUUUCAGAAGAUGGUGUUGGGCCUUCGGGAUUAUUAAAAAAGGUGCUGCCUUUGUUGUCGUCUCGUGUUGUGAUGAGAUGUUUGGUUAAAGCCCCGUAACCAGGGGCAUUCCUUGUCGUUAGGUUCCCGUACGUUGAUGGUGGGCCCUCUAAAGAGACUGCCGGGGACCAAGACCGAAGGAAGGUGUGAAUUACUUCAAGGCAUCCUGGCCCUUUACGGGCUGGGCUAAUGCAGGUGCUAACAAGGGUCGGAUCAGAGGGUUUGCCAAGCUGCAGGUGGAACUUCAUCCCACAUAAUCGACUCGUAGUCCGGAUGCAGUCUGCGACUUGGACUGCGUGUAGCUGAAUCGUAGUAAUAGUGAAUCCAGAAUACGUGACGAAAACGU
rnacentral:rRNA from 1 species